rnacentral:lncRNA from 1 species
GGGAACCCACCGUACCAACACGAUUGGCUGGUGUUGCUGAUACCGGACCCGUUAUAACCCCGAUUGGAAGGGCAGGCCAGUCUGGGCAGAGUCUUGUUCCUGGAGUCGCUCACAACUUUUGGGAGCACCGAGAUCCUGAAUAAGAUGCUGCACGAAUUGGCUGAGGUCAACCCCGCCCCGUUAUGUUAUGUUAUGGAAGAAUUUAGCUUCUUGCUGGGCUGGUUAUUCAGAGCCAGCAACUGGCUGCCGGAUUCCACCUGGCUAGAAGCUGGCUAGAAGAUCGAAUUUCUUGGUAUUUCCUAUCAUUUCACAACCUACUUGUUUUCUUAGUU